ensembl:lincRNA
AUGCCACAGGUGACCCAGGAACAAAGGACCCUAGUGACCAUAGUCUACCUCUGAAGCCACCGUGAGCCAAACCCCUUAUCACUUUAGAUGGCUUCUCAGGUAUUUACUCACAGUAAUGGGAAGCUGGAUCUUACACUCUGAAGUGCUGGUUUUACAUCAUGUCCCCAUGAGACAAGAGCGUGCCACAUGGGGGCAGGGAGCAUGUGGCAGCGCAAGCUGCUUACCUUCUGGAAGCCAGGAAACAAAGAGUGGGACAGGAAGGGCUGGGAUCCCAAAUGCCGCUUCAUGAACAUGCUUCACGGACAUGCUCACAGUGACCUCUUUCCUAUGAUGCUCCUGGUGGAGGCAGAAGGAUCAGAAAUUCAAAGUUCUUCUCAGCGACAUACGAAUGGCGGUACAUGUAUAGACUCAUGGUUGCUUAAGAUGAUGAGAGUUGUUACCUUUCUGCCUGGUCCUUGCUGUUGGGGCAGACCCCUAUGUGGUCUGCUCCUGUGAAGACUCCAUAUCUAGAUCCAUUCUACAGCACUUCGCUCAGAGUGGUUGGGAAACUGCUCAGGUCGUUCUGGUGUGGCCCUGCUGCCUUCUGAGGGAGUGGUGAAUUGGCAAUUACUCUGAUAAAUGUGGCUGCUGGAGACCCAUCUCUGUACAUUCAACAAACAUUAAUCAAGAGUCUACAAUGGGCCAGUCCCUACCAAAACCUGAGCCCUUGAGAAUAAACAAAAGAAUGUCUAGAGUGCUGGAAACAUCGCCUCUCCUUGUCUUCUCAGAUACCGGCAAAGUCUCUAAUAAAUUGCCAGAAUUUCACAAGUGAAUCAUGAGGAGGAUGUGAUGUUUUUAAAUGAGACAAGAUCACACUCAGGCACCUAUACUGGUCUGAGAUUCACAGUGUAGCUGAUGUGAACCGUGGACUCACAGCAAUACUCCUGCCUCAUCUUCCAGAGUACUAGGAUUAGACAGUGUUCUUGUCCAGUGUUGGUAUGUUACCUUCUGAAACCGAUGUAUGUACAUGAAACAAUUUAGAAUCAACACACC